rnacentral:rRNA from 1 species
UACGUAGGGAGCAAGCGUUGUCCGGAAUCAUUGGGCGUAAAGCGCGCGUAGGCGGCCCUGUAAGUCCGUUGUGAAAGUCAAAGGCUCAACCUUUGAAAGCCGAUGGAUACUGCAGGGCUAGAGUCCGGAAGAGGCGAGUGGAAUUCCUGGUGGUAGCGGUGGAAUGCGCAGAUAUCAGGAGGAACACCAAUAGCGAAGGCAGCUCGCUGGGACGGUAACUGACGCUAAGGCGCGAAAGCGUGGGGAGC